rnacentral:pre_miRNA from 1 species
UCUUCAUUCCGCGUGCUCUCUCACCGGUCAGAGAUGCGAGAGAGUAAGCAGAAUGAAGAAA